rnacentral:rRNA from 1 species
UAGGGAAUCUUGCGCAAUGGGCGAAAGCCUGACGCAGCGACGCCGCGUGCGGGAUGAAGGCCUUCGGGUUGUAAACCGCUUUCAGCAGGGACGAAAUUGACGGUACCUGCAGAAGAAGCCCCGGCCAACUACGUGCCAGCAGCCGCGGUAAUACGUAGGGGGCGAGCGUUGUCCGGAUUUAUUGGGCGUAAAGAGCUCGUAGGCGGUUCGGUAAGUCGGAUGUGAAAUCUCCACGCUCAACGUGGAGGGGCCAUUCGAUACUGCCGUGACUCGAGUCCGGUAGGGGAGUGUGGAAUUCCCGGUGUAGCGGUGAAAUGCGCAGAGAUCGGGAGGAACACCCGUAGCGAAGGCGGCACUCUGGGCCGGUACUGACGCUGAGGAGCGAAAGCGUGGGGAGCGAACAGGAUUAGAUACCCCCGUAGUCC